rnacentral:rRNA from 1 species
AUGGACGCUGGCGGCGUGCCUAAUACAUGCAAGUCGAGCGAACAGACGAGGAGCUUGCUCCUCUGACGUUAGCGGCGGACGGGUGAGUAACACGUGGAUAACCUACCUAUAAGACUGGGAUAACUUCGGGAAACCGGAGCUAAUACCGGAUAACAUGUUGAACCGCAUGGUUCAACAGUGAAAGACGGUCUUGCUGUCACUUAUAGAUGGAUCCGCGCCGCAUUAGCUAGUUGGUAAGGUAACGGCUUACCAAGGCAACGAUGCGUAGCCGACCUGAGAGGGUGAUCGGCCACACUGGAACUGAGACACGGUCCAGACUCCUACGGGAGGCAGCAGUAGGGAAUCUUCCGCAAUGGGCGAAAGCCUGACGGAGCAACGCCGCGUGAGUGAAGAAGGUCUUCGGAUCGUAAAACUCUGUUAUUAGGGAAGAACAAAUGUGUAAGUAACUAUGCACGUCUUGACGGUACCUAAUCAGAAAGCCACGGCUAACUACGUG